GGGCACUGCUUCAAGAAAUGGCAAUCAGACUGUCUUAGCUGCCAUUUUUACAAGAUUGGACGCUGCUGCUCUUUUAGUUUGCUACAGUCUCUGGGUAAGCAUAUGUGUACUAAAACAAUUAUUUGAUUCAUCGCAUGGUUUGUCUACUUCAUACGUAAAAUAUCUAAAAUCUUGGAAUGCUUCUAGCUGAAGCUUGUUCCUACAGUGAACUCUACAGUGUAAAGACUUCAAACUGAGGUAAAUUUUGCAGCGGCGUGUUUGAUUGUAUAUCAUGUCUAAGGUUAUCAAAACUUUUAUUCUUCGUAGAGGCGGACCCUCGUGGAAGGUGUGGGGGCACAGUUUGUUUUUUUUUGUACACGAAGUCUCGUUUGGUCACUGGUCUAGUU
rnacentral:misc_RNA from 1 species